AGUUACAAAAUAGCUCUGCAAAAUAUUAGUGAAAUUAGUACAAAAUAAUAAUCAAAACCUCAUUAUAAAUAAUAAUAAAAAAUUAUCGUGCAAAUAAAUCUAUCGAGUGAUCCGCUACUUUCGUGAGCCACUGUAUGUAUGAUAGAAUACACAAGCACAAACGAUACGCACGGCUACAUAUACGUCUAUACGUACACCCACGUACGUAUUUGCUACACCUAUUGGCCAUAAAAAGUACUCACUUGAAUGAAUUGUAUCGUGAUCGCAGAUUUUCCGACGCCACCCGCGCCAACGACGACGAGCUUGUAUGUCUGCGCAUAGCUUUGUUUGUCACCGAGCUUCGACAUUUUUCAUAUGAUCGACGAGUUGUGGAAAUUUCAGAGGAAUACUGGACACAUAUUGAAAACAGCACGGCGAAACGUAGAAAAA